UUUUUUCAAUCAUUUUAAUUUAAUACUUUUUAAAAAAUUUAGAUUAACAUAUUUAAGUUGAGAAUAAGAAUUUAUAAAAAUGUAUUAAAAAAUUCAAAGCUAUAUAACGGAGUUUAAGAGAGUAGGAUAAUUCGAUGUAAGUGGUAGUAAAUGAAAAAAGAUUUUGAACAAUAAACAUGUAAAAGGCGUCUAAUAUAAAAGUAACGUUAUACAUAAAUAAAUGCAUUUUAACUGAUUAUAAAGUACACUGGGGAAAAUAUUUAUUUAUGUACGAAAGGUCUUCGGGAAAAGGCCUUGAAACAAAACUCUUUUGCAGUGUAUUGCUCUCUACGUUGCAUAUAACAUUAUAGUUUUUAUUAUUAUAAUUGGAAAAUAUAUAUGAGUCGUUCAGAAGUCAUUGACCAACUUCACAAAUUGAAAAAUAGAAAAAAGUGAUGAUAUAAACGUUAUUUUUUAAAAUGGCGUUGACAUUUAGUGUUAUUCACGCGAUUUCCUUAUGGAAAAUGGAAUUAUUGUUUCUUGGGAAUUGAUCAUUAGUUAUAUUAACCAUGUAAUGAAAUUAAAAAAUUGACAAAAAGCGCAGCUUAUCACUUUGGCUUGUGAUCAUUUGCAGCUGAAUAAUUUGUUUUCUUUCAUUAUUUAUAGCCACAUCAAGAGAAUGAAAAGUUACGAUUAAAGACCUAAUUUUAAAUUACUUCAUUUUACUUCACUGUUAGAUUUUUAAUAAGCUAACAAAAUGCUAAUUUUAUAAAAAUUCAUUACCUCCAAGUUUUUUUCAAUUUGACUAUCAACUUUUGAAAUAAUCCAAUACAUACACAAGCUUAUGAAAGCAUUUCAAUAAAGCCGGUAUGUUGAGCACGUGACAAGAAUGGCGAUAGUGAUGUUUACACUGAUAAUUCGCAUGAUUGCAAACUAGCGGUACUUUCCUGUACGAGUGUUGAGUAUGAAAUAUGAAUAUUUUCAUGAUACUUGUGAAUACUUUCACGAUGAGACGAUAGGGAAACGAUAUUUCAAAAGAAGAACUACAAAAGGGCGAAAAACCGGUCACUGCAAGGAUAUGCAAGGACGAAAAGUCGAUCGGACAGAAAUGUAUCGAUAGAUGAGCGAUCAAUAAUCAAUAAUUUGCGAAAAUUAGCGUAGGCGCUGUAUAACGCUUACAUUUGUAAUACAUGCAUGUUAGACGAAGUUGUCAUUACCGGCAGGGUUGUGAAGGCAUCCUGCCUUCUUUUUUUUAUAAUUUACACGCGAUUUCGGGACAUGAAUAUAAAAGUUUUCUAUAAGUUUUUAGUUUUCGAUAAACAAGGCAACAAAUAAAAUGUUUUGAUACAGGAAAGCAGCCUUAUGUCGCGCGAACAUCGGAUCCAACAACCAAUUCCAACCGAAAUCCGCGUUCCCGCGGAUUCAUCUGCGACCCAAGGGAGAGAUUGAAUGCUGCAUUUGUCAAAAGAGUGCGCGACCCUAUCGCGUGGCAGGAACAAUAGUGAUUGAUCCUUCGUGUUAUUGUGUAAAACAAAACGAAAAAGGAACAACAAGAAGCACACAAUACUAUAAUGGGCACAAUUCAUCGUGGCACGAAGGAACACGCCUCAUUGCCCGGGUGCACGAAUCGUUAAUCCGCCGACUUCAAAAGAGUUAGCAAUUAAACAUAUAACGAACCUAAUCGUGACAGAACGUUGUUUACGUUUGUGCAUUGUUUAAUUACAAUAAUCUCCCAUGGGCUUAUACGAAUGACGAAUAAU
rnacentral:lncRNA from 1 species